GUUGACCUCGGAUCAGGUAGGGAUACCCGCUGAACUUAAGCAUAUCAAUAAGCGGAGGAAAG
rnacentral:rRNA from 1 species